rnacentral:rRNA from 1 species
CCAAUAGCGUAUAUUAAAGUUGUUGCAGUUAAAAAGCUCGUAGUUGAAUUUCGGGGUUAGCAGGUCGGUCGUGCCAUCGGUAUGAACUGGCCUCGCUGAUCCCUCCCUCUUGACGAACUGUGAUGCCAUUAAUUUGGUGUCGCAGGGAAUCAGGACUGUUACUUUGAAAAAAUUAGAGUGUUUAAAGCAGGCUCACGCUUGAAUACAUUAGCAUGGAAUAAUGAAAUAGGACGUUUGAUCCUAUUUUGUUGGUUUCUAGGAUUGACGUAAUGAUUAAUAGGGAUAGUUGGGGGCAUUAGUAUUCAAUUGUCAGAGGUGAAAUUCUUGGAUUUAUUGAAGACUAACUACUGCGAAAGCAUUUGCCAAGGAUGUUUUCAUUAAUCAAGAACGAAAGUUAGGGGAUCGAAGACGAUCAGAUACCGUCGUAGUCUUAACCAUAAACUAUGCCGACUAGGGAUCGGAUGAUGUUAAUUUUUUAAUGACUCAUUCGGCGCCUUACG